rnacentral:tRNA from 1 species
CUUCUUCUCCAGCUCCGGCAGCUUGCCGUACUGCAGCUCGGCGACCUUGUUGAAGUCGCCCUUGCGCUUGAACUCCU